CCAUGUGGCAUGUUUUACAUGACAUUGUCAAGGUUGACUGUCAGGUGUUAUAUAUGAAGUCCAUGACAUUGUUGCCGCUACAUUCGGACAAGAAGAUGAUUCAUAUAUUGCGCUUUAGGCAAAAUUCAAGUGGUUCUGUACUCCCACAAGGGUAUAUCGCCUAAUCCAGCAGAAUGAAUCAAGAAAAACCCUUAAGAAAUUACGAAAAUCAUGCUGCAUUCACAUAUUUCCCUUGGUUAACUCAUACAUAAAUGUUUCUCAUCAUGGAAGCAGGGCGAAGCUAAGGCUUUAAAGGUGAGCCGCUUUGAGCAUAACACAACCGCAUAAAUAGUGCUCUGUUGGAUGCUGCGAGGGGUGACUGAGACAGGAAGGGAGAAAGAGGGGGAAUGGUCUCCCCCAUUUUGGGGCGCCAACGUCCUUGCGGCUCGACAUAGCUCAGGCGAUGUGACCUCCAAAAUGUCGCAAGAUGGCAACCUUGACCUCGUUUUAAACUCCUUAAUACGUACGCAUUGUGAUUUUGCGACGACAAACCACGGCCAAGCUUGCAAUGUAAACCACAAUGUCAAAUUCAAACUUCUCACUGCAAUUGUUUGCUUUAAGCACUAUCCAAAACUUGUACGCUCCUUCCGAUUACCAAAACAGCUACAGUUAUGACGUGAUCCUCGAUACACGUAUGAGGUGAUGAUAAAUUCCAGACAUAUAUGAGGCUGAAUUCACAAAACAUUGGCUGAUAUUUGCUACUAGAACCUAUUCUAACAGAAGUAUCUAUUGUGAAUACGGGCCCGCUAUAUAAAAAAGCUAUUACGCUAGAAUUGUUCGUAAAUGCAAAUUUCAGAACAUAAUGGUGAUAGACAUAUUAUUAGCUAUAAGGUGGCCAGCCAAUGUCAAGGAACAUUUACGAACGAAACUCUUUAUGAAUACGGCCGCUAUACUUAAGGUGCAUUCUCCAAUAAGAGUCAGUGUGUGCCAUCACAUAUCAUGUAAGAACAUACGAUGGCUUAAUACUUAUGUUAUGUAACGGUAAAAUCUUGCUGCACAUUUCAAGGCACGGUUAUGACACAGAAUUUACAGAAUUUACAUGCAUUUCAUUAAACUACUUCGCAUAAUACGACGGUUCAGAGCGUUAGCUUAUAUUUCCGGCAAACCAACAUUUUUUUUCUUUUGAAGUCUGUAUGGCAUGGUCAUUUCCCUUGCUUUACACAGGCCCCUCUUAAUGCUCAAUAACAUGACAGAGUAAGGGUACUAAUGCACAAUUGUACAGUAAUGCACAGUAAGGAAUAAUACUUGACGGGUUCGUUGCAUACUUAUGCGAUGAGAGCAUAGUGCUCUUGGAGCCGUCAUUCUGUUGCCAAUUAUAUUGAAUUUUUUUGGUAAUUGUUUUUAUAGUGUAUUCACCGAGGGCCCUGAGAUUCUCAUGUGAGAUCAGACCCAAUUCUAUGAAGCGUCGCUACUUAUUUGUCACUGAGAUCACAAAUAUCGAAAAACAAGUGCACUUAAACCAUA
rnacentral:lncRNA from 1 species